GAUGAACGCUGGCGGCGUGCCUAAUACAUGCCAGUCGAGCGAACAGACGAGGAGCUUGCUCCUCUGACGUUAGCGGCGGACGGGUGAGUAACACGUGGAUAACCUACCUAUAAGACUGGGAUAACUGCGGGAAACCGGAGCUAAUACCGGAUAAUAUAUUGAACCGCAUGGUUCAAUAGUGAAAGACGGUUUUGCUGUCACUUAUAGAUGGAUCCGCGCCGCAUUAGCUAGUUGGUAAGGUAACGGCUUACCAAGGCAACGAUGCGUAGCCGACCUGAGAGGGUGAUCGGCCACACUGGAACUGAGACUCGGUCCAGACUCCUACGGGAGGCAGCAGUAGGGAAUCUUCCGCAAUGGGCGAAAGCCUGACGGAGCAACGCCGCGUGAGUGAUGAAGGUCUUCGGAUCGUAAAACUCUGUUAUUAGGGAAGAACAAAUGUGUAAGUAACUAUGCACGUCUUGACGGUACCUAAUCAGAAAGCCACGGCUAACUACGUG
rnacentral:rRNA from 1 species